AAUGAUCUGUGGCUUUGCAAAAACGCCUUUUCUUGGGUCAGAGAGCAGAGUCCACAGUACUCCAACAGUGACCGUGACAAUGAUCUCUUCAGGUUUGUGGAAAUCUUUCUCACUUUGGAAUAAUAGGACUGCAGGAGAGAUCUUUGCAGUUAGCUUAGCUCAAGGUGGUCCAGCCCCAUGUUUCAUGAGAGAGUGGUGCUACAUGUAUCUCACCACUGGGGAAAUUGAUAUGCUCCAAAUUUUCAAGAAUGAUAUUGAUGAUAUUGAAUUCUCCCUGCUGAUCUCAAAGGUAGCGUAACUCCAAAUACUCCCUAAUGGCUAGCAGCAGUAUAUUGUAUUGUUUCUUUGCAUAAUACCACAUUUUGGCAUCCUGUUAUUGUUGUGUUUUUCAUGAGGUCAAAGAGGCAACUAAUCUGUCAGAAUUCACAGAUGAAAUCCUUAGCUGUGGAUACACUGGGACAUUUAACAUGGACCAAAACGAUGCCAUAAUUAGAGCAAUUUUUCUCCAUGCAAUAUUUUGAGUCACACCAAUGCUUGGAGACUUGCAUAAAGGCCUUCAGCUCUAUGGAUUGCUGGACAUUCUUAAGGAACAUCCAAAUCUUUGCAAGAGUCUGUUUGUUCCUGGAGAGGAUUGCACACCAGACACUGACUACAUUCUCAGCCACGUUGCUCCUGAAAUGAGUCCUAGAGGAGCUUCAAGGGCUUCAGCAGAAAGCAAAAUCAUAAACUACUUUCAAGAAAUUGAAUGUGGAGAGUGACCAUUCUCCACUGUCCAUCGAUGGCUCCUCUGUGGAGAUCGUCAAGAGCACCAAAUUCCUUGGUGUCCAUCUGGCGGAGAACUUCACCUGGUCACUCAACACCAGCUCCAUCACCAAGAAAGCCCAGCAGCACCUCUACUUCCUGAGGAGGCUGAGGAAAGCCCAUCUCCCUCCCUCCAUCCUGACUGUGUUCUACAGAGGGACCAUGGAGAGCGUCCUGAGCAGCUGCAUCACUGCCUGGUUUGGGAACUGGACCGUCUCAGAUCACAAGACCCUUCAGGGGACAGUGAGGACAGACACACACCCCUCACACACACUCUUACACACCCCACACACCCCACACACACUCUUACACACCCCACACACCCCUCACACACACUCUUACACACCCCACACACCCCUCACACACACUCUU